rnacentral:misc_RNA from 1 species
CAGAAGGAUCAUUAGUGAAGAUUCGGGGCGCCCCAUAGACACCUACAAUAUGUGUGUGUCUGGCUACUCCCAUCCUCUAUCCAUCCAUCCACGCGUGUGCUCUGGUAUAAAGGCUUCUAGAGAAGGUAGGGAAAGUCUCUUGUGCUUUGUUCAUCACUCUCUCUCCCUCUGUUUCUCUCUACCGUGAAUUACAAACUCGUAUGGAUUUGUAUGAACGUGAUACAUAUCUUUGGACCACCGAUGGCCAGGUUCUCCCACACAACUUUAAACCACCGAUCUUUUGGUUCUCCCAU